rnacentral:lncRNA from 1 species
CGGGCACCUCUCGCGCAGACGCGCGACUCCUCCUCUCAUCAUUUUGUAAAACCAGAAGGAUCUACCGUCGUUGCGUCCCCCCCCGCUUAUUCUAGCCUCGCCGCGCCACGGACCGACCAAAACCAUAUGGGUUUCUUCCCACCAGCGUUCGCUCUCUCAGCCGCCGUGCCGCUGCUCAUGAGGCGCCCAGGUCCCGCAGCAUCCGGAUGCCACCGAUCGUUUAUUUUUCAGGCGCCACUGUCCAACCCAUCAACGCUUUCGAUGUGGUCACAAUCUCUCAGGCAGCAGCCACCCACGAUUCUGUCUGCUGUCGCAUGACUUUUACAAAUGGCGCUUCUGCUUGGAUAAGUUUAUUGUUCUCUUUAACACCAUAUUAUACAGGUACUAUCAAUGAAAUCUAAAAUUUGUUUUUGCUAGGUUUCUGAUUAUGAUUUGAGAAUAACUUGCCUUUCUAAUAUUUAUUGUGUUCAAUUUUAGAAGAAUAUAAACUAGUAAUUUAGUAAUUUACAUGUUCUCAUGCAAUAAAUUGUAGUCGUUUGUUAUCUAGGAUUGCAUUUAUAUAAUCUAUGUGUUUUGUAUACCAAAAUGGCAAUGCCUUAAUUCUUUUUUACAAUGUGUCAGUGAAGAAAUUAAAAUCAGCACCCUCUCUACCAAAAUACAAGUAAAGCCAUGAAGAUGUCAUUUUUGAAGGAAUUUUCAAUAAUUGCUAAUAACUUUGGAAGUAAAUAUCUUUAUAAAAAUUAUAUAUGACUCUAGCUAGAGAUAUGUGAAUAGUUGAUCCUAGUGUCAAAAGAUGUUUUGAACACUAUGGUGAGGUUAGAUUUACUAAAAAGUACUUUUUUGUCCACUUAUAAUAGCCAUUAGCCUUAGUUAUGAAAUUCGCUUUUAGAUGAAUGAAGAUUGUAGAUUUAGAUUAAGGAUCUUAGAGAUCAAAAGUGGAUAUGUGGCCGCCUCCUAUGAGCAUCUAUUCACUUGUGUAAGAGGGCUUAGUUGCCCAAGCUCUCGAUUUCUCUUCUUUUUGGUGAAGGACAAAGUCAUACCAAAUUUUGGCCUCAAACUCUAAUUAUAAUGUCAUUUUGGAUUCUAGAUUUCAUUGUGUA